rnacentral:miRNA from 1 species
UAUUGGGUUGGCCAAAAGUUUCGUUUGAGUUUUUCCAUAACAUCUUAAAGAAAAACUCAAAUGAACCUUUUGGCCAACUCAAU